AGAGCGAACGCUGGCGGCAGGCUUAACACAUGCAAGUCGAGCGGGCGUAGCAAUACGUCAGCGGCAGACGGGUGAGUAACGCGUGGGAACGUACCUUUUGGUUCGGAACAACACAGGGAAACUUGUGCUAAUACCGGAUAAGCCCUUACGGGGAAAGAUUUAUCGCCAAAAGAUCGGCCCGCGUCUGAUUAGCUAGUUGGUGAGGUAACGGCUCACCAAGGCGACGAUCAGUAGCUGGUCUGAGAGGACGAUCAGCCACACUGGGAUUGAGAACGGCCCAGACUCCUACGGGGGGCAGCAGUGAGGAAUUUCGGCAAUGGGGAAACCCUGACCGAGCAACGCCGCGUGCAGGAAGACGGCCUUCGGGUUGUAAACUGCUUUUCUUUGGGUACGAGCAAGGACGGUACCAGAGGAAUCAGCCCCGGCUCACUACGUGCCAGCAGCCGC
rnacentral:rRNA from 1 species